AAUAAAUCAACACAAGCCAUCAUUUACGAUGAUGAGUGGAACUCAUUUCAUUAGUCUGUAAUAUACCUGUUAACUGGCCCAUGAGCCCCUUGAGGGCAGGAGCACUAUACCUAAGCGUUCUUGGUCCACUACCGGAAUGCACUAGGUGCUCAAUGAAUGUCGCUGAUAGAGAGGUGGACAGAGAUAAGCACCCAAACAUGUAUACUCCUGGAUCAAUUAUACUGCAUGCUCAAAGAAGAUACAAAGGCUCUCAACAGCAGGAAAGCAUACAUAUGAUGGGAUGACUGAAGGAGAGAUGUGGAAAGACUUAAUGGAAGAAGUGGCAUUUUAAACAAACCUUUGAAGAUGACUACAGAUAUUAUUUAGUCUCUCUUGGCCUCAAUGUACCUACUGAUCAGUCGAUUGAGACGACGAGGCAGAAUGAAGUGAGGGCUGUAAGAGAAAUGCAGAUACGGCUACGAUGGCUGAGUGAAAGAAGCACUUUGUCAGGAAUGGAUCAAGGCAAGCUCCCUAAGAAAUAGGACAUCUGGGUUAUAAUUUGAAGAAUGUGGGACAAUGACCUGAAGAGAGGAGGACAUUCUAAGAAAGAGGGGACAACAUGAGUGAGAACACAAAGGCAAGGAAAGAAAUGGCAUGGCAUAUGUGGGAAUUAUAACAAGCAGUUUGGGGAAACGGAGCAGAGAGUGGUAAGAAACAGGCUGG